UUGGGCUAAUUGUCCUUGGCAUAAUCGUGGACAAUAUGAUGUAACCCAAAGUGGCUGGACUUCAAGAACUUGACCACCCUGGACAAGAUGGACAAAGCCUAUGUAACAAUGAUUUUGCAAAAAGAUUAAUUGUUAUAAAAACUGUGGAAGGUAUUGCAAGAUUAAGCAUAAGUGUAAAGCAGUAUGAAGUCAAUUGUUACUCUAAAUCAACUAAACAAAAACUCAUUGUAUUUGUGUGCGCACGCAGAACUGUACUAGGUGUCACUUGGAAAAUUAUGUCUCUGGGAAAUGAUGUUUAUGAUUAUAUCUUGUACUGCCCCUUUAUUGAUCAUGCGAUGUUAUGCUUUUGUAAACUUAUGAUAUAAAAGACCAUGUAAAAAAUAAAGAGCAGAGCCUUCUUCAUCUGCAAAAUGAAAAUAUAAGACACACUACCUCUCAUUCUUUUUUUCGCCGAACUCUACCCCUCCUCUGGUAACCCUGUUCAUUGCUGAGGCUGGCCCCCGGCAACUGGCGCCCGAACAGGGACCUGAAGGACAAAACUUCCCCUUUGUGGAUACCCGACAGACUCAUCAGACAUGCAAGACCCAAAAACCACCAAAAAUCCUCCAACACUUUCUCCCUCUCUGCUUACAAACCUAACACCUCUCACGACUCUUCUGAGAAAUCUGUCUCUUGAAAAUGCUCCAUCUACACCCCCACCUUCGCCUGUCUCUAGUUCCUCCUCUUCAUCUUCUACUCCACUCCCUCUCACUGACUUUAUACAACCCUCUACAAACCUCAACAACUCUUCAUCUCGAGACAAAGUGCGGUGGAGAAGCCGGAGACAUACUCCCUAUUCAAGAACCCAUCGAACCAUUGCGGCUGAGCCCCCAACUUGGGGCCAACUCAAAAAAACUUACUCAUCUGGCUCACACCUUAACCGUGGAUCAAUAUAUUCCCGUAAAUGCGGGUACUCUUUUUGUGGCAAUGCUCGCUAUCAUUUCCUGUCAGUCAUCUUCCGAAUCUUAAAUCAAGCUAUCCAAAAGGUGGCUUCAGAUCUUCAUCUAGCGAAAUUAAAAAAUAAAAAAGGGGGAGAUGCUGGGAGCCAGGCUGCAAGGGCGGCCCCUCUGCACCCACUGCCCCCAGCAUAAACAUCAAAGAAUCCCUGAAAAGUCAGGAGGAGCCAGGCUGCAAGGGCGGCCCCUCUGCACCCACUGCCCCCAGCAUAAACAUCGAAGAAUUCCUGAAAAGUCAGGAAUAUCUCUGUCAUCUGUGUUCUGUUUCUGUUUCAUUUUCAGCCUGUGUAUAGCAGAAUGUAUAAGCAUAAAAUUCCAUUAUAGAUUUAGGGACCUUUGGAGGGGGGCGUCCUACUCAUAAUCCCCUGGUAAAAUCCCGGGCAGGGACAGCCCGUGUAUUACCUGAGGAUCAACAUGAAGCUGUCUUAGGGGGAAAACAAAUAGCUCGACUAUGGAAAACUAAAACAGGAUGGUGGAAUCCUGGUAUUUACCGAGGCCCUUUUGUGAUUAAACCACCACCCACACAUGAUCCCAUAAAAGUGGAAAAACAAAAGGCAGUGAGUUCUCUCAGCCAAUUUCUCAGCCAAUUACAGGUCAACCUUCUCGUCUACCCCUCUCACUGCUGCGCUUGACUGGUCUUUGGGUAUAGAGA